GCUCAGUAACACGUGGACAACGUGCCCUAAAGUGGAGCAUAAUCUCGGGAAACUGAGGAUAAUUCUCCAUAGACCAUGAGAUCUGGAAUGACUUAUGGUUCAAAGUUCCGGCGCUUUAGGAUCGGUCUGCGGCCUAUCAGGUAGUAGUGGGUGUAACGUACCCCCUAGCCAGUUACGGGUAUGGGCCUUGAGAGAGGGAGCCCAGAGUUGGAUUCUGAGACACGAAUCCAGGCCCUACGGGGCGCAGCAGUCGCGAAAACUUCACAAUGGGCGAAAGCCCGAUGAGGGAAUUCCUAGUGCUAGCACAUUUGUGCUAGCUUUUCCUUAGCGUAGAUAACUAGGGGAAUAAGGGCUGGGUAAGACGGGUGCCAGCCGCCGCGGUAAUACCCGCAGCCCGAGUGGUGGUCGAUUUUAUUGAGUCUAAAACGUUCGUAGCCGGUCUGAUAAAUCCCUGGGUAAAUCGGGUGGCUUAACCAUCCGAAUUCCGGGGAGACUGUCAGGCUUGGGAUCGGGAGAGGUAUGAGGUACUUCAGGGGUAGGGGUAAAAUCCUGUAAUCCUUGGAGGACCACCGGUGGCGAAGGCGUCAUACUAGAACGAAUCCGACGGUGAGGGACGAAGCCCUAGGUCGCAAACGGGAUUAGAUACCCCGGUAGUCUAGGGUGUAAACGCUGCAGACUAGGUGUUGGAGGCCCUACGGGGGCACCCAGUGCCCGAGAGAAGUUGUUAAGUCUGCUACUUGGGGAGUACGUCCGCAAGGAUGAAACUUAAAGGAAUUGGCGGGGGAGCAC
rnacentral:rRNA from 1 species